CCCCAUGCAGCACGGCCGGCCUGACCACCCACGCCGGCUGCUUGCCUUCCUCCAGACACUGCCACCUACCGAGCACAGGUGCACUUAAUCUGUAGCUUUGCAGUAAUCCUAUGGCGCGCAUGCGCGUCGAAGCAAGGUCUCUUAAAAAAACAGGAGGCAGAAACCAGAGAAGGGGGUGUGAAUGAAGGAGGAGCUACAGUAAGUGGACAAGCCUCUUUCCCCUAUUUAAACUCCACUAACC